UCGGCGAGGCGGCGGCUGUCCGGUGGCCGUACGUCCUCCUGCCUGGGCUCGAACUCCCGCCGUGCGUCCCCACCCACAUCACCAAGCUUCCCAGCGCCGUCCGCGUCGCCUCCGAGGAUGUCCCGGUCAGAGUUGAAACAGACCAACAAGACAGAAAUCAGCUCCGGAUAGGUCUUCGGGAGCUGAGUUAUUUUACGAGGAGAAAUUGAUCCUUAGACUACAAAAACAACAGAACAGCAGGGAUGAUAUUCAGGUUGACAUAUCUGAAAAGAGCCCAAGAAUACUACAAAUGGGUUCGACAUGGGUUGAACAUAGGGGUUCUUGGCCUGAGCAUGCAAGUGUAUGGCCGGGACAAUCCUUACUUGAUUAAUAUGUUGGGAAAAUCAGUAAUGGUCGAGCAAACCGAAAAGGAGAGGCUGAAUCUUCUCCCACAAAGUUUUUGGUCAGGAUACUAUGUCGAAUGCGACAUUGCUACACUAUUCCAAAAGGCAUUUGAAACUCCAAUGGCGUUAUAUGUUCACCUGAGGGAGAGAAUGAUAGGGUUCCAGCUUGACCGAAUUGACAUCGUUUUUUUGUAGUCCAACAUACGAGCCAUAUAAUUCUAUAGUCUCCAUGCAAAUCCCAUUUCUUUUUUAUUUUCAGUCAAAAGUCAACAUAGCAUUUUUGUGGUAAGAUCGUUUUUAUUUUUGGAUCAAUGAACAGGGCUUUUUUCCCCACCUUUAAGCUCAUAUGGCUUUUAGUACAUGAUUGUCUCAAACUUUAGGAAGAAAAUGUUCGAA